CCUACGGGGCGCAGCAGUGGGGAAUAUUGGGCAAUGGGCGCAAGCCUGACCCAGCAACGCCGCGUGAAGGAAGAAGGCUUUCGGGUUGUAAACUUCUUUUGUCAGGGACGAAGCAAGUGACGGUACCUGACGAAUAAGCCACGGCUAACUACGUGCCAGCAGCCGCGGUAAUACGUAGGUGGCAAGCGUUAUCCGGAUUUAUUGGGUGUAAAGGGCGUGUAGGCGGGAAUGCAAGUCAGAUGUGAAAACCAUGGGCUCCACCUGGUGCCUGCCGUUGAAACUGUUUUUCUUGAGUACUGGAGAGG
rnacentral:rRNA from 1 species